UACGGACUGGAUAAAACUUGU
ensembl:piRNA 21ur-3101 ncRNA